ACCGGAUUGGCUUCAGUUUGAAGUGAUGACAGGGGGCGGGGAAACAUAACAGAUAACGGAAAGUUUCCGCGAAAUCACUUUUUGUGUUUUACAGAGAAGGAAUUAUCAGCCCGGUUGUCCUCACAAAACGAGUUAUGGAACGGGCACGUUUUAUUCAAUUGCUACCAAACUUUACCACAAUGUAGAACCACAUCAGAGGAGCGAAACCGUGUUCGCGUUUUUCUUUUAAUGCUUUAGUUUUCAAAUUAUAGGCUUCUGUUCUAUCGUUAUUGCAAAUUUUUGAUGAGUCAACUUAUCUGCUUUAUAUCUCAGCAAAUAUAAUACCUGUCAAAAAACGCGAACACGGUUUUGUUCUUUGAUCAUUUAACAUGGGAAAUGUGAUAUUUCGGAAGCUUCUGAGUUUGAUCGGAU